rnacentral:snRNA from 1 species
GUGUUUGCUGUGGCAGCACAUUUACUAAAAUUGGGAACAGUACUAAAAGUGAUCCCUGCACAAAGAUGACAUGCAAAUUUGUGAAGCAUUCCAUGUUUUC